rnacentral:rRNA from 1 species
AGAGGAAGUAAAAGUCGUAACAAGGUCUCCGUAGGUGAACCUGCGGAGGGAUCAUUACCGAGUUCAUGCCCUUACGGGUAGACCUCCCACCCUAUGUUAUAUUACCUUUGUUGCUUUGGCGGGCCGCCCGGCUUCGGCCAGGCUACCGGCUCCAGCUGGUAAGCGCUCGCCAGAGGACCCUCAACUCUGAAUAUCAGUGUCGUCCGAGUACUAUAAAAUAGUUAAAACUUUCAACAACGGAUCUCUUGGUUCUGGCAUCGAUGAAGAACGCAGCGAAAUGCGAUAAGUAAUGUGAAUUGCAGAAUUCAGUGAAUCAUCGAAUCUUUGAACGCACAUUGCGCCCCUUGGUAUUCCGAGGGGCAUGCCUGUUCGAGCGUCAUUACAACCCUCAAGCACUGCUUGGUAUUGGGCUCCGCUGGCUCCAGCGGGCCUUAAAAUCAGUGGCGGCGCCGUUUGGGCUCUGAGCGUAGUAAAUAUCCUCGCUAUAGAGACCAGGCGGUUCUUGUCAUCAACCCCCAACUUUCUAAGUUUGACCUCGGAUCAGGUAGGGAUACCCGCUGAACUUAAGCAUAUCAAU